AUUGAACGCUGGCGGCAGGCCUAACACAUGCAAGUCGAGCGGUAAGGCCCUUUCGGGGGUACACGAGCGGCGAACGGGUGAGUAACACGUGGGUGACCUGCCCUUAGCUCUGGGAUAAGCCUGGGAAACUGGGUCUAAUACCGGAUAUGACUCCAUGACGCAUGUUGUGGGGUGGAAAGCCUUGUGCGGCUGGGGAUGGGCCCGCGGCCUAUCAGCUUGUUGGUGGGGUGAUGGCCUACCAAGGCGA
rnacentral:rRNA from 1 species